GUGUGUGUGUGUGUGUGUGUGUGUGUGUGUGGUGUGUGUGUGUGUGUGUGUGUGUGUGUGUGUGUGUGUGUGUGUGUGUGUGUGUGUGUGGUGUGUGUGUGUGUUGAUGUGUUUGUGUGUGUGUGUGUGUGUGUGUUGAUGUGUUUGUGUGUGUGUGUGUGUGUAGGCGUUUGGGUUAACGUUUCACUUGGGGGUCAAGAGGAUAUUGCUCUGGGUCAUCAAGGGCGGGGGGGGAGGUCCGGGGGGGAGAGGGGUGUGUGUGUGUUAGUCUGGGCUUUGGAAAAAGCAUCCACAAUCAGGGGUACUCAUGCUUUCUCUCUCUCUCUCUCUCUCUCUCUCUCUCUCUCUCUCUCUCUCUCUCUCUCUCUCUCUCUCUCUCUCAAAUUCAAAUUCAAAUUCAAAGCAGGGGGAAAUAAACGUUAUUAGCAUGACAGUAUUUGAAUACAGUAUUGCCAAAGCCUAUUCAAGUUAUGCAAGAAUAAUUGUACAUUAACAGAUAAUAAUAAUAACCAAUAGCAAUUAUAACAACAAUAACAACAACAAUAAUAAAAUAAAUAAAAAGUCUGACUGAAUCUCUCAGGUUAUGAAAUUUCAGGACAUAUUGUGCUGCCAGAGCAGCAGAAGGAGCUUCAUCAAGAAGAAUUGCAAUUUUGUCUGCAAAAUCCGGAAUGUAGAUUUGUAAUUUGUCCAUCCUCUCUCUCUCUCUCUCUCUCUCUCUCUCUCUCUCUUGUCUCUGCAUCCCAUCUCUGACAGAGAGGUGAUAGUUGUAAUUUCUGUUUAGGAUCAGAUAGGAAUUCAUUCUACUUUGGUUGAGGUUUGGUUUGUCCAAUGUUCUAAAUGGUCUUCUUUUGCUUGAUUAAUUAUUUUGUUGACUCUAAUUGGGAAGCAGUGCUGGACUGAGCUUGAUGAGUGUUAGUUAGCUCCAGCACCAGUUGGCACAAGGGACUCUUGUCAGGGUUCAGUUCCUGGGUUUCUUGUGCUUCAAAAUGAAGUGUAUUCUUGGGACUAGAUUUUAAGUGCUUCCAGAAUUGUAGUGCUCGUUUUUGGAUAGGUAUAGCCAAUGGGUAACGACCUAAUUCUGCCCUACACGCGUUGUUUGGUGUUUUUGGUUUGGGCUUUCAUAUGGAUCGGCGGAGUUCAGCAUGUAGGGCCUCUAUUGGAUGCUUAUCCCAUGUAGUGUAGUCACUCUCCCUCUCUCUCCCUCCCUCCCUCCCUCACCCAGAGCUGGAGGCCUACCAGCAACAGGGAGGAGACCCGCCGCGAUGCGACGUGACGCUCUGCUUCGGCGAGGAACUCGUCACCACGGACGACCAGUCCAGAAGCUCAUCCUCGUCAAGAUUACAUUUCCGUGGGCAGAAAACAAGUGCAGACCCUGAAAACCAUGAUGGCUUCCUUCAGCUUCCUCCAGUCCCUGACCAGCCAGUCCCCCACCGGAGAGAUCACCAUCAACCUGGUGCCAGUGGAAGAAGUCUUCUAACCCCAAGCACCUCUCCUUUAAACCUACCAAUAAGAUAGGGGCUGAGGAGCCUACAAGUCAUCGAUACCAAUUGACCAAUCAUCAAGCAGAGAUUUGUCGAACAGUGCUUUACUCCGAGCAUCUGAUUGGUUCUUGAGGACGGAGGAGGGAGGGAAACCGAACGCUUGUUAUUUGGUUUUAUGAAUACAGAGUAUUCCAUUAUGUGAGCAGUCAAACUUAACUAUGCACCUUGAGACACGUUUUUAGUAAGCACUAAGAUUGAGCAUAGCCUAGCCCUAACCCUAACCCUACUUUGCGUGAAAGUCCUCUAGGGACAUUAUAUACUAGAUCUACAUCUCCGUUCAGACAAGGCUCCACGGGGCAGAACGCAGAAGGGGGUCUUCCUGUGUUCAGUAGGUGUUUGCAUCACUCUGUUUAAAUAAGGCUUCUUUCACCUUACGUAAACCGUUUUACGCUUCGGUCCAUCUCUGUCAAUAUAGCUUUAUUAAUUAGAGGGCGAUUAUUUUCACUUAAUUGCCCUAUUCAUUGUGUGAACCAGUUAUUCAAGUAUAAUGGUAAAUAUAGCUCAUGCGUUCAACCGCUCUAUAAUCAACUAUCUACAUGUAGACAGGGGCGUUGGGUUAGGUUAGGUAGGGGGGGCACUUUGAUACAUUCCAAGUUGCCAUCUUUGUGCGUUUUUAUUUUCACUUUUUAUAGUCUGAAUCAACUACUUGGUCGGUUGUUCAACAAUCACGUGUCAACAAGUACCAAGAUUGCAAACAUGAACCUCAAGAGGACGUGGGUGAAACCCUCCUGUAGCUGAAGUAUAGCACAACUAACCCAGCCCUAACUGGGCCAAGACUGGGUUUCAGGAUGUCUGGAUCCCCACGCAGGUCAGAAUUCAGGGGAAGUCUGAAUUUUCAAUUGCAGCUUCGAAGCCUAGCUUCCUCUCCGUCAUGGAAACUGAUGCUGUGAACCUCACCUGGAGAGAACCUCACCUGAAGCCAACCUGGUCCAUAGAAAGUUACCUUCCUGCAGUGACAGAUUCCUGCCAUCAUCUCAUUGUUCCGUGGCGUGUCUUACCUCAACGACACAAUCUUAUUGCCAACCAAAAUUCCCAUUGUGCAUUGGGACAUACAAGGCGAUUUAUUUAUUUUUCGUCUAAGGUGGGUUUUUUUCCAGGUUAAACCAUUCAAUUGCUUCGUUGUGUGAACUGAUGCAUGUUCAAAGUAUGUCACUACAGUAGGCUGUAAAGUCAAUUUGAGCUUGUCCUGUUUAUAAAAAAUAAACAUUAAUGUAAGCCA